rnacentral:rRNA from 1 species
GGGGAAUAUUGCACAAUGGGGGAAACCCUGAUGCAGCCAUGCCGCGUGUGUGAAGAAGGCCUUCGGGUUGUAAAGCUCUUUCGGACGGACAGAAAUCGCCGCCUCUAACAUAGGCGGUGGAUGACGGUACCGUCAGAAGAAGCACCGGCUAACUACGUGCCAGCAGCCGCGGUAAUACGUAGGGUGCGAGCGUUAAUCGGAAUUACUGGGCGUAAAGCGUGCGCAGGCGGUUUGGUAAGACAGGUGUGAAAUCCCCGGGCUUAACCUGGGAACUGCGCUUGUGACUGCCAGGCUAGAGUACGGCAGAGGGGGGUGGAAUUCCACGUGUAGCAGUGAAAUGCGUAGAGAUGCGGAGGGACACCGAUGGCGAAGGCAGCCCCCUGAGCCUGUACUGACGCUCAUGCACGAAAGCGUGGGGAGCAAACA